rnacentral:rRNA from 1 species
ACGCACGCUGGCGGCAUGCCUCACCCCUGCAAGUCGCACGCGACCUUCGGGUCUAGUGGCGCACGGGUGCGUCACGCGUGGGAACCUGCCCUUAGGUUCGGAAUAACUCCCCGAAAGGGGUGCUAAUACCGGAUAAUGUCUUCGGACCAAAGAUUUAUCGCCUUUGGAUGGGCCCGCGUUGGAUUAGCUAGUUGGUAGGGUAAAAGCCUACCAAGGCGACGAUCCAUAGCUGGUCUGAGAGGAUGAUCAGCCACACUGGGACUGAGACACGGCCCAGACUCCUACGGGAGGCAGCAGUGGGGAAUAUUGGACAAUGGGCGAAAGCCUGAUCCAGCAAUGCCGCGUGAGUGAUGAAGGCCUUAGGGUUGUAAAGCUCUUUUACCCGGGAUGAUAAUGACAGUACCGGGAGAAUAAGCUCCGGCUAACUCCGUG